rnacentral:rRNA from 1 species
AGUGAACGCUGGCGGUAGGCCUAACACAUGCGAGUCGAACGGCAGCACAGUAAGAGCUUGCUCUUACGGGUGGCGAGUGGCGGACGGGUGAGGAAUACAUCGGAAUCUACUUUUUCGUGGGGGAUAACGUAGGGAAACUUACGCUAAUACCGCAUACGACCUACGGGUGAAAGCAGGGGAUCUUCGGACCUUUCGCGAUUGAAUGAGCCGAUGUCGGAUUAGCUAGUUGGCGGGGUAAAGGCCCACCAAGGCGACGAUCCGUAGCUGGUCUGAGAGGAUGAUCAGCCACACUGGAACUGAGACACGGUCCAGACUCCUACGGGAGGCAGCAGUGGGGAAUAUUGGACAAUGGGCGAAAGCCUGAUCCAGCCAUACCGCGUGGGUGAAGAAGGCCUUCGGGUUGUAAAGCCCUUUUGUUGGGAAAGAAAAGCAGCAGGUUAAUACCCCGCUGUUCUGACGGUACCCAAAGAAUAAGCACCGGCUAACUUCGUG